rnacentral:rRNA from 1 species
CCCUUAGAUGGCCUGGGCUGCACGUGCGCUACAAUGACUGAGCCAGCGAGUAUUACCCUUCUCCGUCGGGAGUGGGCAAUCUUUUGAAACUCAGUCGUGUUAGGGAUUGAUCCUUGCAAUUAUGGAUCAUGAACGAGGAAUUCCUAGUAAGGACAAGUCAUCACCUUGUGCUGAUUACGUCCCUGCCCUUUGUACACACCGCCCGUCGCUUCAACCGAUUGGAUGAUCCGGCAAAUUACAUGGACCAUGCUUGCUGUUGGUGCCCUGCAUCACACUAGUGAGGGAAGUGUCGUGAGCCUUAUCAUCUAGAGGAUGAAGAAGUCGUAACA